rnacentral:rRNA from 1 species
AUUGAACGCUGGCGGCAUGCUUUACACAUGCAAGUCGAACGGUAACAGGGAGCUUGCUCCGCUGACGAGUGGCGAACGGGUGAGUAAUGCAUCGGAACGUGCCGUGUAAUGGGGGAUAACGUAGCGAAAGUUACGCUAAUACCGCAUACGCCCUGAGGGGGAAAGUGGGGGACCGCAAGGCCUCACGUUAUACGAGCGGCCGAUGUCGGAUUAGCUAGUUGGUGGGGUAAAGGCCCACCAAGGCGACGAUCCGUAGCGGGUCUGAGAGGAUGAUCCGCCACACUGGAACUGAGACACGGUCCAGACUCCUACGGGAGGCAGCAGUGGGGAAUUUUGGACAAUGGGCGAAAGCCUGAUCCAGCAAUGCCGCGUGAGUGAUGAAGGCCUUAGGGUUGUAAAGCUCUUUUACCAGGGAUGAUAAUGACAGUACCUGGAGAAUAAGCUCCGGCUAACUCCGUGCCAGCAGCCGCGGUAAU